AUGUUCAAAAAUACUUAAAAAAUAAAAACAAUUUUUUUAUUCAUUAAUUUUUAAAAAGGCUGAUAGUACAAGAAUUUCUCCAAGUACGCGCUGGCUCCCUUCCCUUAACCACCAAGUUCUCGGCUCUUCCUGCAGGAAAUGGGAGCACGUUCGGUACACAAAACUGAUGCAGUUGCAGGGGAGCGGAGCUGCAGAAUGGCCGCCUGGGAAGGCGAAGGGGAGCGUGUGGCUGUCUAAGAAGAUUGAUGAUGUGCAGCCGCAGAGGUGCUGCAAGUGGAGAUGCGGGCCUGGAGCGAGGAGCCGGGACCUGGGAACAGGUCCUGGAACUGGGAGCUCGUAGUGGCCAACUCCGCAAACCGGCAUCUGCUUAGCCCCGGCUUAACUUUAUGCUGACAGCGCCUUGGCACUUGCCAAGUACUUGGCCAAUCCGACGCCACUCGCUAGCCCGAUCAGCCCUCUUUCAGCUGAUUUGCUGCGUGUUUGGCCACCGCAGCGGAAUCCUGCUUUCAUUGUUGCUGAUUUUGAAUUUGCACUUUUGCCACCGAGAGUCGGCAAUCAUAUAUCAUUGUGGGCGAUACCAGGAAGAUCCGACUUGGGGGCUUGGAAUUUUAAAUGGGCAGUGUGUGACACGAUUGGCCACCGGUUGGAACUGGGCUGCAUUAGGCGUCGGAUUAAGAAGAUUCUUUGGAUUUUCUGGCUUUACGUGGGUCUUCUUUUGUUUGAUGUGAGAGAGAGGAUUCUAGUCCGGAAUUAUAGUCCGAAGUUGCAAAAUUGCAUAUUCUCCUAUGCAGGACGAUUUAUUUUAAUGUUGUGCUAUAAGAAAAAAAUUAAUUUAAUAAAUUAUUGUUUUAUGUAUUG